rnacentral:tmRNA from 1 species
GGGGGCGAACUGGAUUCGACCGGAUAGCCUGAAGUGUAGGUGGCGUGUCGUGGUUGAUCAGUGGGCCACGUUAAAAGCUGAUCACAAUUUUAGUUGCAGAUGCAAAUCUUGCACUGGCUGCGUAGCACGUAGCCCCGACUGCGGGACUUCGCCGGAGAGUCCCAAAAGUCGGUCACAAUUCCGGCUAGUCUUAAGUCACGUCGAGCACGCUUAAGGCGAAACAAAGUUCUCGGAUGGGAUGAUCGAUAGCCUGUCGGUUGGCGCUUGAUCGUUCGACAACCAAAGAACUGACUACACACGUAGAAGCUUGCAUGGAAAUGUCUCGGGACGCGGGUUCGAUUCCCGCCGCCUCCAUCG